rnacentral:rRNA from 1 species
CCUACGGGAGGCAGCAGUGGGGAAUAUUGCACAAUGGGCGCAAGCCUGAUGCAGCAACGCCGCGUGAGGGACGAAGGCCUUCGGGUUGUAAACCUCUUUUAGUAGGGAAGAAGCGACUGGGUUUUCCUGGGAGUGACGGUACCUGCAGAAAAAGCACCGGCUAACUACGUGCCAGCAGCCGCGGUAAUACGUAGGGUGCAAGCGUUGUCCGGAAUUAUUGGGCGUAAAGAGCUCGUAGGCGGUUUGUCGCGUCUGCUGUGAAAACCCGAGGCUCAACCUCGGGCCUGCAGUGGGUACGGGCAGACUAGAGUGCGGUAGGGGAGAUUGGAAUUCCUGGUGUAGCGGUGGAAUGCGCAGAUAUCAGGAGGAACACCAAUGGCGAAGGCAGAUCUCUGGGCCGUAACUGACGCUGAGGAGCGAAAGCAUGGGGAGCGAACAGGAUUAGAUACCCUGGUAGUCCAUGCCGUAAACGUUGGGAACUAGAUGUGGGGACCAUUCCACGGUCUCCGUGUCGCAGCUAACGCAUUAAGUUCCCCGCCUGGGGAGUACGGCCGCAAGGCUAAAACUCAAAGGAAUUGACGGGGGCCCGCACAAGCGGCGGAGCAUGCGGAUUAAUUCGAUGCAACGCGAAGAACCUUACCAAGGCUUGACAUAUACCGGAAACGGCUGGAAACAGUCGCCCCGCAAGGUCGGUAUACAGGUGGUGCAUGGUUGUCGUCAGCUCGUGUCGUGAGAUGUUGGGUUAAGUCCCGCAACGAGCGCAACCCUCGUCCUAUGUUGCCAGCACGUAAUGGUGGGAACUCAUGGGAUACUGCCGGGGUCAACUCGGAGGAAGGUGGGGAUGACGUCAAAUCAUCAUGCCCCUUAUGUCUUGGGCUUCACGCAUGCUACAAUGGCCGGUACAAAGGGCUGCGAUACCGCAAGGUGGAGCGAAUCCCAAAAAGCCGGUCUCAGUUCGGAUUGAGGUCUGCAACUCGACCUCAUGAAGUCGGAGUCGCUAGUAAUCGCAGAUCAGCAACGCUGCGGUGA